rnacentral:rRNA from 1 species
GGGCGUCUCUAUCUCAUUGCGAGAGGAGGCGCACCUAGAGCGUACACGCUGAUACCCGAAAGAUGGUGAACUAUGCCUGGCCAGGACGAAGCCAGGGGAAACCCUGGUGGAGGUCCGCAGCGAUUCUGACGUGCAAAUCGAUCGUCAGAGCUGGGUUUAGGGGCGAAAGACCAAUCGAACCAUCUAGUAGCUGGUUCCCUCCGAAGUUUCCCUCAGGAUAGCUUGCGCUCGGGCGAGACGAGUCUCAUCCGGUAGAGCGAAUGAUUAGAGGCCUUGGGGUCGAAACGACCUCAACCUAUUCUCAAACUCCAAAUAGAUGAGAACCCCGGCUUUCUUGAACUUUAUUGCGAUUGAAGCCGUGGGAUUCGGAUCAGAGUGCCAAGUGGGCCAAUUUU